UUAUCUGGGCGUCACCUGUGGUGGGCAGAGCUGGUGUUUCUUCAAUUUUGUGUGACUAGACUUUUUUUUUUCUUAGCUGAAAAUUGCUCUCGCCAGCUGCGCUUGGGUCUGGGCUCCAGGCUCUUACUCUUAGGGUGUGAUUUAGGGGCUAUUUUCAGUCUAAUGGGAUAAUUUAUAACCCAGUUCUGUGGCAAAGAAUCGUAGAAUUUCAGACCUGGGUGUUACACCAAACCCAAACAAACUAAGUCAUAACAACAACAAUAAACCAACCAUCCAAACACCCCAGACCAUCGUGCUGCUUCUAAGCCCCGCGCAGCUACAGACUCCGUGGUUUUCACUGCAGCUACAGCAGGUAAAGCUGGUGCCCUACCAGACCCAGCAAGCCUCUGGCUGAGCAUUCUUUUUCAUGGCUAGUCUCUGCCAGGGCUGGCUCCCUGCUGUGGGUCAGCAGAUCAGGAAAGAAGAGUCACACUCUAGACCUGAGGAUCCCCCCCACUCCUCUUGCAUGUCCCCUCCCCCAGACAGGGUCUGGGGGGAGCGGAGCCUUUAUCAUCUGCCGCUGACAGACAUCCCUUAAGGAUUAUUCUAGUCACAGAUGGGGCUAUGGGGUGAUUUGGUGAAGGCCAGCUCAGGGAUGGUGAGGAUGAGAGCAGCCUUUGGUGGCCUGGCUUUAUUCAAAUACAUCAGGAACCCUGGGGACACGUCUCUGUGUUCCUACCAGUGUCUUACCGACUGCUUCUCCCUUAAUAGUGGGUUGGGGGCGCCAUGCUUAGGGGCAAUAGUAAGACCUGGAAAUGGAAGGGAUGUUCUGGACCAGGUGACUGUUAGCAUGACUGCUGCAUUGUUAUGUACCAGUAGAAACAGCACAGGGACCAGAGAGAGGGGGCUGGGCCUCAGUAACCAAGAGACACUUCAGGAAAGGCUGGUGUGGUUGAGGCUGUGUCUCCAUGUGUGUCAACGGUGGCCAAGCUCCAGCAUGGGAAGCCUUGAGGUUGUACCUUCUCUGUCCUAUGCUGCCGAUGGCUGUCUGCCAGUCUGGGUCUGCCCUCCACAGGGCAGGGAGCAGCUCUGCCACAGUGAGGUCCCGGAGGGGCAUGGCACCAUGAGCAAGUCCACUCACUCCAGCCUAAAUCCAUCGUUUACAGCAGAGUGCAGUGUGCUUAUCCAGUGGAAGCCAGAGAGGAACCCAGGGAAGCACAGAUGCAGAGGUGCCCUGGUGUGUGGGGCACAGACGAGAGCUCCAGCUGGACCGACAGCAAACGACUUAGGGUUAGGGUUAGGUCCCAGGCUGGCCAUGUGUACGUGUCUGGACCUUUGGGAAUAAUCUCACAGGGGUGGGAGCUUCACAGAGAGAUGGAGCUGUAAGGAUGGCACAGGAAGCUUUGAAGGCAAAGGACUGUGUGUCCAGCAAAUGCUCCCUCAACACCUGCUGGGUGGAAUUUGCUGGAACACACGGAGGCUACAGUUGGCUGCACAGCAGGCCUCCUGGCUAGAAACUCCUAAAGGGAGAGCCAGACUGGCCGGUGGAUGGUACUACUGUGGCUCCUACAUCUCUCUUGGACGUGAUGCAGGCACCCCAAACCACCGUGUGCAGGUCUGUGUGAGAGGCUCCUCAGCCGUUCCCCAACCAGGAAGCUGAUCACGUGUAGAGCCGGCUGUUAGCGCUUCCCCAGGUAAGACUUCAUGGGAGCUGGGAUCCAGCUGUCCGGGAGAGCAGCACCACAGCCAGACCCUGUUGGAGAAAGCCAGCGUGGCAUUCCGACACCUGGAGCAGUGCCCAAGAGAUGCGCACUCAGGAUGGAGUUGGACUAGUGGAAAUCGGAGCUGCUCUUCCCAGCAGCCUCUUCUGCCCAGAGACCCUGGAGAGUUAGUGCCGGCCCUUCCCAGGCGUGGGAGUAGGGUGUGUGGGUCACCCCUCCUCCUGCUGCUGUGAGACACAGCAAACCCUCUCCUCUGUGAGUCCCUCGGAGGCCACCACACUCGGGAAGCACACCCCCAUGCAAAGAGGCCCCCGAAGAUGACAAAGUGGCGGCGCGAAGCCCCUGACCGCCUCUGCGAUGGGGCAGAUGCCCCAGAGUCCUCUCGGGCGCAGACCAAGGCUAAACUGACCCGUGCUCUGAAGUGUUUGACCUCUGCUGCGUCAUCUCUAUUGGUCUCUCAGGCUCUGCUUCCAGGGCUACCCAUAGGACACGCCCCGGAGGCUGCUGCUCCCGCUCUGAGCGGAGCUUUGGAGCUUUUCUCAGAGUUUUAAGACCAAACUGCUUUUUGAAAGGUGAAGAGAUUGAAGUUUGGGGUUGGAGAAGGGAACGUGGCUGCUGGGAGCUCAGGGUGUCUUACUCUCCCACCCACAGGCCGUGGGACUUGUACCACAGGGGAUUUCAGGGUGUGAGCAGAGAAAUCUCUACGCCCUGAUAAGCCUCUCUGCUGAUGCAGCAGCCCAAAUCAAAUAAAAGGAAUUAGAAAAAGCCCACAUUUAAUGGAUACAACUCUCCCAAUGGCGCUCCAGCCCCCAGACAGGAGCGGGGAAAGAGAGACCGGAAAACCACAGGUGUCCUGGGGAAACUCCAAAUUUUGGAGGUCAUUGUUACUGUUAACGUCAGUUGCCAACUUGCUGUGACCCAGAAUUACCUGAGAGACCCGGCGCUUUAGAUGGAACAUUCUUUCCCAAAUGAAAGACUACACUUCCCAGCUCCCUUUGAGGCUCCUUCUGAGUGCAUUUCUAAAUUCUGCUCCAUGAAACAGAAGUUCCAUGACCCCAUGAGACGUGGGUCAAAAGUCUCUAAGACCAAGCCCCUUCCCCCUUCUCCUACAACUCUCGGUUCUCGGAUGUCAGUAUGAUGGCAGGGACUCCAGUUGCCAUCUUGGAUCACGAGGACAAGUUCCAGACCUUGAAGACAGGAACCUUGUUGUAUAAGAGUGGAAUGGUGGCAGGUGUGUGUGUGUGUGUGUGUGUGUGUGUGUGUGUGUGUGUGUGAGCCCUGUCCUUGAUGGCUUUUCUAGCUGCCACACUGGACUGUGUGCUUCUGACCGUCAUUUAUAACUGUAAAAAUUAAUUUCAAUGUGA